GGGACACGUGGUAUCCUGUCUGAAUAUGGGGGGACCAUCCUCCAAGGCUAAAUACUCCUGACUGACCGAUAGUGAACCAGUACCGUGAGGGAAAGGCGAAAAGAACCCCGGCGAGGGGAGUGAAAAAGAACCUGAAACCGUGUACGUACAAGCAGUGGGAGCCUCUUAAUGGGGUGACUGCGUACCUUUUGUAUAAUGGGUCAGCGACUUAUAUUCUGUAGCAAGGUUAACCGAAUAGGGGAGCCGAAGGGAAACCGAGUCUUAACUGGGCGUUAAGUUGCAGGGUAUAGACCCGAAACCCGGUGAUCUAGCCAUGGGCAGGUUGAAGGUUGGGUAACACUAACUGGAGGACCGAACCGACUAAUGUUGAAAAAUUAGCGGAUGACUUGUGGCUGGGGGUGAAAGGCCAAUCAAACCGGGAGAUAGCUGGUUCUCCCCGAAAGCUAUUUAGGUAGCGCCUCGUGAAUUCAUCUCCGGGGGUAGAGCACUGUUUCGGCAAGGGGGUCAUCCCGACUUACCAACCCGAUGCAAACUGCGAAUACCGGAGAAUGUUAUCACGGGAGACACACGGCGGGUGCUAACGUCCGUCGUGAAGAGGGAAACAACCCAGACCGCCAGCUAAGGUCCCAAAGUCAUGGUUAAGUGGGAAACGAUGUGGGAAGGCCCAGACAGCCAGGAUGUUGGCUUAGAAGCAGCCAUCAUUUAAAGAAAGCGUAAUAGCUCACUGGUCGAGUCGGCCUGCGCGGAAGAUGUAACGGGGCUAAACCAUGCACCGAAGCUGCGGCAGCGACACUAUGUGUUGUUGGGUAGGGGAGCGUUCUGUAAGCCUGUGAAGGUGGCCUGUGAGGGUUGCUGGAGGUAUCAGAAGUGCGAAUGCUGACAUAAGUAACGAUAAAGCGGGUGAAAAGCCCGCUCGCCGGAAGACCAAGGGUUCCUGUCCAACGUUAAUCGGGGCAGGGUGAGUCGACCCCUAAGGCGAGGCCGAAAGGCGUAGUCGAUGGGAAACAGGUUAAUAUUCCUGUACUUGGUGUUACUGCGAAGGGGGGACGGAGAAGGCUAUGUUGGCCGGGCGACGGUUGUCCCGGUUUAAGCGUGUAGGCUGGUUUUCCAGGCAAAUCCGGAAAAUCAAGGCUGAGGCGUGAUGACGAGGCACUACGGUGCUGAAGCGACAAAUGCCCUGCUUCCAGGAAAAGCCUCUAAGCAUCAGGUAACAUCAAAUCGUACCCCAAACCGACACAGGUGGUCAGGUAGAGAAUACCAAGGCGCUUGAGAGAACUCGGGUGAAGGAACUAGGCAAAAUGGUGCCGUAACUUCGGGAGAAGGCACGCUGAUAUGUAGGUGAAGCGACUUGCUCGUGGAGCUGAAAUCAGUCGAAGAUACCAGCUGGCUGCAACUGUUUAUUAAAAACACAGCACUGUGCAAACACGAAAGUGGACGUAUACGGUGUGACGCCUGCCCGGUGCCGGAAGGUUAAUUGAUGGGGUUAGCGGUAACGCGAAGCUCUUGAUCGAAGCCCCGGUAAACGGCGGCCGUAACUAUAACGGUCCUAAGGUAGCGAAAUUCCUUGUCGGGUAAGUUCCGACCUGCACGAAUGGCGUAAUGAUGGCCAGGCUGUCUCCACCCGAGACUCAGUGAAAUUGAACUCGCUGUGAAGAUGCAGUGUACCCGCGGCAAGACGGAAAGACCCCGUGAACCUUUACUAUAGCUUGACACUGAACAUUGAGCCUUGAUGUGUAGGAUAGGUGGGAGGCUUUGAAGUGUGGACGCCAGUCUGCAUGGAGCCGACCUUGAAAUACCACCCUUUAAUGUUUGAUGUUCUAACGUGGGCCCCUUACCGGGGUUGCGGACAGUGUCUGGUGGGUAGUUUGACUGGGGCGGUCUCCUCCUAAAGAGUAACGGAGGAGCACGAAGGUUGGCUAAUCCUGGUCGGACAUCAGGAGGUUAGUGCAAUGGCAUAAGCCAGCUUGACUGCGAGCGUGACGGCGCGAGCAGGUGCGAAAGCAGGUCAUAGUGAUCCGGUGGUUCUGAAUGGAAGGGCCAUCGCUCAACGGAUAAAAGGUACUCCGGGGAUAACAGGCUGAUACCGCCCAAGAGUUCAUAUCGACGGCGGUGUUUGGCACCUCGAUGUCGGCUCAUCACAUCCUGGGGCUGAAGUAGGUCCCAAGGGUAUGGCUGUUCGCCAUUUAAAGUGGUACGCGAGCUGGGUUUAGAACGUCGUGAGACAGUUCGGUCCCUAUCUGCCGUGGGCGCUGGAGAACUGAGGGGGGCUGCUCCUAGUACGAGAGGACCGGAGUGGACGCAUCACUGGUGUUCGGGUUGUCAUGCCAAUGGCACUGCCCGGUAGCUAAAUGCGGAAGAGAUAAGUGCUGAAAGCAUCUAAGCACGAAACUUGCCCCGAGAUGAGUUCUCCCUGACUCCUUGAGAGUCCUGAAGGAACGUUGAAGACGACGACGUUGAUAGGCCGGGUGUGUAAGCGCAGCGAUGCGUUGAGCUAACCGGUACUAAUGAACCGUGAGGCUUAACCUUACAACGCCGAAG
rnacentral:rRNA from 1 species